CUACGGGAUGCUGCAGUGGGGAAUAUUGGACAAUGGGGGAAACCCUGAUCCAGCAAUGCCGCGUGUGUGAAGAAGGCCUGCGGGUUGUAAAGCACUUUCGGUUGGGAGGACUGCUUCUAGCACUAAUAUUGUUGGAAGUUGACGUUACCUUCAGAAGAAGCACCGGCUAACUCCGUGCCAGCAGCCGCGGUAAUACGGAGGGUGCAAGCGUUAAUCGGAAUUACUGGGCGUAAAGCGCGCGGAGGCGGCUAGAUCAGUCGGGUGUGAAAGCCCCGGGCUUAACCUGGGAACUGCAUCCGAUACUGUCUAGCUUGAGUACAGGAGAGGAGAGUGGAAUUCCACAUGUAGCGGUGAAAUGCGUAGAUAUGUGGAGGAACACUAAUGGCGAAGGCAGCUCUCUGGCCUGAUACUGACGCUGAGGUGUGAAAGCGUGGGGAGCAAACAGGAUUAGAUACCCCGGUAGUC
rnacentral:rRNA from 1 species